CUCACCUUCCAAACCUCACCUCCCACUUAGCUUCACUGCUGCUCUGAGCCACAGGGCACUGACGGUUAGGUGAAGAAACUGAGGCACAGGGAAAUCAAGUGCUUUGGUCGGUGCCACACAAAAGUAAAGCCAAGUGAAUCUUAGAGGGCAGUCACAUGGAGAAAACAGCAUCAUUAAAUGAGAAGUUCUUAGCACAAAGCCUAGCACCCUGGAGACCCUUAUUAUUGAGAAGCUAGACAGCCAAGAUGUCAGAGUACAAAAGGAGCCUUUUGGACACUUGACUGAUGGAGGUAGACAAAGGGGACUUAUAAACUAAUUCUGAUUGGAGGAAAGGUCACAGCAUUCGAGUAGCUAAAUACAGGUAAGGAAGGACUACUACUAGGGGUUACC